rnacentral:rRNA from 1 species
GACGAACGCUGGCGGCGUGCUUAACACAUGCAAGUCGAACGAAGUGGCGAACGGGUGAGUAACGCGUAAUCAACCUGCCCUUCAGAGGGGGACAACAGGUGAAAACGACUGCUAAUACCGCAUACUGAAGCAGGGGAUUGGGUCUGAUUAGCUAGUUGGAGGGGUAACGGCCCACCAAGGCGAUGAUAAGUAGGUGGUCUGAGAGGAUGAACGGCCAAAUUGGGACUGAGACACGGCCCAGACUCCUACGGGAGGCAGCAGGGGGGAAUCGUCCGCAAUGGACGAAAGUCUGACGGAGCAACGCCGCGUGAGUGAUGACGGCCUUCGGGUUGUAAAGUUCUGUUAAUCGGGACGCGGUACCGGAAUAGAAAGCCACGGCUAACUACGUGCCAGCCGCCGCGUAAUAC